rnacentral:sRNA from 1 species
CCAACGCCGGUGUACUCGCUGUGAAUGG